rnacentral:rRNA from 1 species
GCAGUCGCCGCGGGAAUACAGAGGGUGCGAGCGUUAAUCGGAUUUACUGGGCGUAAAGCGUGCGUAGGCGGCUUCUUAAGUCGGAUGUGAAAUCCCUGAGCUUAACUUAGGAAUUGCAUUCGAUACUGGGAAGCUAGAGUAUGGGAGAGGAUGGUAGAAUUCCAGGUGUAGCGGUGAAAUGCGUAGAGAUCUGGAGGAAUACCGAUGGCGAAGGCAGCCAUCUGGCCUAAUACUGACGCUGAGGUACGAAAGCAUGGGGAGCAAACAGGAUUAGAUACCCCUGUAGUCCCUGUCUCUUAUAC